AGAGGACGGUUCUUUUAUACAAUCUAUGAAGGAUGGAGAGCAUAGCGCCAGCAAACAUCAUGAUGAGGAGUGAAGAUGAUUCACACACACACAUACACUGAGUAAG